rnacentral:rRNA from 1 species
GACGUAGGGUCCAAGCGUUGUCCGGAUUUACUGGGCGUAAAGAGCGCGUAGGCGGUCCGUUAAGUGUAGAGUGAAAGCUCCGGGCUCAACUCGGAAAUUGCUCUGCAUACGUGGCGGACUCGAGGACGGAAGAGGUUUGUGGAAUUCCUGGUGUAGCGGUGAAAUGCGUAGAUAUCUGGAGGAACAUCAGUGGCGAAGGCGACACCCUGGACUCAUACUGACACUGAGGUGCGAAAGCGUGGGGAGCAAACAGG